GAUGAACGCUGGCGGCGCGCCUAACACAUGCAAGCCGAACGAUUAAAGCACCUUCGGGUGUGUAUAAAGUGGCGAACGGCUGAGUAACACGUGGGCAACCUGCCCCUUUCAUUGGGAUAGCCACGGGAAACCGUGGAUAAUACCGAAUACUUCGAGACUUCCGCAUGGAAGACUCGAGAAAGCUCCGGCGGAGAGGGAUGGGCCCGCGGCCUGUUAGCUUGUUGGUGGGGUAACGGCCUACCAAGGCAAUGAUGGGUAGCUGGGUUGAGAGACCGACCAGCCAGAUUGGGACUGAGACACGGCCCAGACUCCUACGGGAGGCAGCAGUGGGGAAUCUUGCACAAUGGGCGAAAGCCUGAUGCAGCGACGCCGCGUGCGGGAUGAAGGCCUUCGGGUUGUAAACCGCUUUCAGCAGGGACGAGGCGAAAGUGACGGUACCUGCAGAAGAAGCCCCGGCUAACUACGUG
rnacentral:rRNA from 1 species